GGCUUCCUGGAGGAAGGAGCAGAUAAGGGACUCAGGAGGCAAGUUGUUCUGAUGGGGCAGAGGGUUCUGGAGAGCAUCAGGGGUGAGGAGGAGUUCCCUUUGAAACCCCACCCCCCGCCACUCUCCCCCACACCCAAGGGCAUAUCUUUCCUUGGCAGGUUCAGAACCUCAUGGCCCGAGCUGAAUACCUGAAGGAGCAGAUGAGGGAAUCUCGCUGGGAAGCUGACACCCUGGACAAAGAGGGACUGUCGGAAUCUGUUCGUAGCUCUUGCACCCUUCAGUGACCCUAGAAGAAUGAUUGGACAGAUGUGAGCCAUCUGGAGCAGAGGGGCACUAACCCAGGCUGACGCCAAGAAUGAAGUGGCCCACUGCAGCCCUGGCGAGCAGGCUUCUUGGAUGGACAGUGCUGAGACCCCCAUAUCCCAGAGUCCCCAGCCUCCCUCAGGUUACUCUGCACCCCACAGGUGGUUUGAUGGCUGUGCUGUAUACUGGAGGGGAGGGCAGGACUCUGGGAGAACAGCACUUCUUUCAUGAGACCUUUGUUACUUGGUGGUUACUGGGUCCUGUGCCUGUCCGUUUUGGGGCAUGCAGCCGUCUAUCGUUUUUGGCUCCGAGAAGGGGGCAAGGGGCCCCUGCAGGGUACUUCUGUGCUUGCCCUCGCCCUGCCAGCAGGCAGCUGUGCCCUUGGCCUGCCCUUCCUGGGAUCC
rnacentral:sRNA from 1 species